UACCGCGGCUGCUGGCACGGAGUUAGCCGGGGCUUCUUAUCCAGGUACCGUCAUUAUCUUCCCUGGCGAAAGAGCUUUACAACCCUAGGGCCUUCAUCACUCACGCGGCAUGGCUGGAUCAGGCUUGCGCCCAUUGUCCAAGAUUCCCCACUGCUGCCUCCCGUAGGAGUCUGGGCCGUGUCUCAGUCCCAGUGUGGCUGAUCAUCCUCUCAGACCAGCUAUGGAUCGUCGCCUUGGUAGGCUUUUACCCCACCAACUAGCUAAUCCAGCGCGGGCCCAUCUAGGGGCGAUAAAUCUUUCACCCGAAGGUCGUAUACGGUAUUAGCACGAGUUUCCCCGAGUUAUUCCGUACCCCUAGGUAGGUUCCCACGUGUUACUCACCCGUCUGCCACUCCCUCCGAAGAGGGCGUUCGACUUGCAUGUGUUAAGCCUGCCGCCAGCGUUCGUUCUGAGCCAUGAUCAAACUC
rnacentral:rRNA from 1 species